AUGAGAGUUUGGGGCUUCACAAGAAUCGGCUUGCCUGGAUCGACUUUGAUCCUACCUUGUGGGCACCUGAUGGUAGUAAUAGAUAUGUCAAGGAGGGUUGCUGGGUGGAGACAGUCUGAAUCCGCAACAACUAAAGGAAGGUGCUUGCUUCUCUCUUUUUGCCCACCAAUUGAAAAUUUUGGAACUAGAGGAAUGCCAGUUCUGAAAUGUCUCCACCAUGCCAACUAUGGUCUUCAGCCGAAUCAAACUGCGACAUUCACUUUGGAAAUGGCAGGUGCAAAGCAUUUAAGUAGUUUCAGAUCCGGGGAGUAG
rnacentral:rRNA from 1 species